rnacentral:lncRNA from 1 species
UGGGAGGAAAUAUUUUUUGUCUAAGCAAAUAAAAUGGAUGAAUGACUUUUGGGGAUAUGUCCUUUUUUCAUUCCAUCUUCCACAAAUUGCGCCGCGUUCGAACACAGCGGUGCCGGACACGCCCACGGCGCCGCUCCACGCAGGUGCGCGCUCUUCCACUCGCUCUUCCGCGGGCAAUUGUGUGAUCAGCGGACCGAGAUGCUGUGAGAUUCAUGCUGUUUUGGGACUGAUUUCAGGUCAGAUCCGCGAUGCGUUCACGGCGAACGCGAAUUUUCUGGGUUUAUUCCCGAUGCUCAUCAAAGCGCAAGCAGGUACAGGCACACCUGCGCUCGCGCUCCCCUCCCUACCUGCGCGCGGACUGACAGCAUGGAGACAGUUUAAUCCAGCCGCCCCCCCAUCUCUGCCCAUUUGGACACAGUUGAAGGAAGAAGCCUCUUCCAGGAAACGAAACAAUAGCAGGAUGGAGGGAUGAAGCGAUGGCGGGAUGACGGAAUUAAAGGAUGAGGGAGAUGCAGGAUUAAGGAAUGGAAGCAUGAGGCGAUACACAAAGUGUUUUAACAAAAAUGAUUAUCAAUAUGCAUGUGAAUCAUCAUCAUAUUUCUGCCAUUUCAAUAAGAGCUUAGCAACUGGAAAAACAAUGUUAAUUUCAUUUUUUUUUCCAAGAGGCGAGCAAGCUGUAAGAAUUUUAAAGUAUUUGAUGCUGAAACAAUAGUUGGUAUGAGAUGAAAACUUAUCUCUGACAGACAAAGGUUUUGCUGAAAAAACAGAAGGAGUGUGCACAGACACAUACACACAAACACACACACACACACACACACACACACACACACAAAUGAAGACAUUGUAUGUGUACAGUAGGAUGUGCACUAUAUGUGUGUGUUUCUUGAGUUAACAGAACACUGCAGAGUGCAGCAGGUGCAGGUUAAAGAGGUCACCGCUGGUUGGGGCUAGUGUGAUCCAGUGCCAGAGCUCCUGUCGGAGUGAUCUUAAACUGGAAUGGAGUGUGUGCCACCCACCCGUCAACACACGUCUGGGACCUCCAGUCAGAGUAUCACCUGCUACGGGCAAAGGCCACAGCUCUCAGCCGAUUCCGAGGAAGGACUCGAUGCUCGGGUUGCUAGGGCUUUGCAAGGUGUCCACCUGGCAGGGGAAGGUAUACAUCACUUGAGUUUCUAGCUCAGUAUUGCUUGUAUGUUAG